rnacentral:rRNA from 1 species
UACGAAGGGGGCUAGCGUUGCUCGGAAUCACUGGGCGUAAAGCGCACGUAGGCGGAUUGUUAAGUCAGGGGUGAAAUCCUGGGAGCUCAACUCCAGAACUGCCUUUGAUACUGGCGAUCUCGAGUCCGGGAGAGGUGAGUGGAACUGCGAGUGUAGAGGUGAAAUUCGUAGAUAUUCGCAAGAACACCAGUGGCGAAGGCGGCUCACUGGCCCGGUACUGACGCUGAGGUGCGAAAAGCGUGGGGAGCAAACAGG